rnacentral:rRNA from 1 species
UACGGAGGGUGCAAGCGUUGUCCGGAUUUAUUGGGUUUAAAGGGUGCGUAGGCGGUCUUUUAAGUCAGUGGUGAAAUCCUCCAGCUCAACUGGAGAACUGCCAUUGAUACUGGAAGACUUGAGUAUAGUUGAGGUAGGCGGAAUUGACAGUGUAGCGGUGAAAUGCAUAGAUAUUGUCAAGAACACCGAUUGCGAAGGCAGCUUACUAAACUAUAACUGACGCUGAGGCACGAAAGUGCGGGGAGCAAACAGG